rnacentral:ncRNA from 1 species
UAACGAGUUCCUCUUCCUAACCGAGACCUAUGGGGAGGUUAAACACAGUCUCUCAUAUCCCCGCUAAGGGUGCGGGGAGCAUAGUAUCUCCA